CGCGUAGGCGGUCUGGUAAGUCGGGGGUGAAAUCCUGCAGCUCAACUGCAGAAGUGCCUUCGAUACUGCCGGUCUGGAGGGAGAUAGGGGUGUGCGGAACUUCCAGUGGAGCGGUGAAAUGCGUUGAUAUUGGAAGGAACGCCGGAGGCGAAAGCGGCGCACUGGAUCUCUUCUGACGCUGAGGCGCGAAAGCUAGGGGAGCAAACGGGAUUAGAUACCCCGGUAGUCCUAGCCCUAAACGAUGAGUACUAGAUUGUAGACUGAUCAUGGGUUUACAGUCGAAGCAAAAGUUUUAAGUACUCCGCCUGGGGAGUAUGGUCGCAAGGCUGAA
rnacentral:rRNA from 1 species